rnacentral:rRNA from 1 species
GAUGAACGCUGGCGGCGUGCCUAAUACAUGCAAGUCGAGCGAACAGAUGAGGAGCUUGCUCCUCUGACGUUAGCGGCGGACGGGUGAGUAACACGUGGAUAACCUACCUAUAAGACUGGGAUAACUUCGGGAAACCGGAGCUAAUACCGGAUAAUAUAUUGAACCGCAUGGUUCAAUAGUGAAAGACGGUUUUGCUGUCACUUAUAGAUGGAUCCGCGCCGCAUUAGCUAGUUGGUAAGGUAACGGCUUACCAAGGCGACGAUGCGUAGCCGACCUGAGAGGGUGAUCGGCGACACUGGAACUGAGACACGGUCCAGACUCCUACGGGAGGCAGCAGUAGGGAAUCUUCCGCAAUGGGCGAAAGCCUGACGGAGCAACGCCGCGUGAGUGAUGAAGGUCUUCGGAUCGUAAAACUCUGUUAUUAGGGAAGAACAAAUGUGUAAGUAACUAUGCACGUCUUGACGGUACCUAAUCAGAAAGCCACGGCUAACUACGUG